GGAGCGCCUCUGACUGACUUCCCCCAUGUGUCCGUGUGGCCACACCGUGCUACUUUCAGAGGCAGUGGGCUUUUCGCUAAGGGAUAAAAAGAAGUAAAACCUUGCCUUUAGCGCAGCUCUCCUUCACUGGGCAGAUUGCUCUCCCUCCCCACUCUCCCAGGCCCAAAUUGGAUCUCAGCGCCUGGGAGCUCCAACUUUAGCAAGUGCGAAAUCCUGUCUUCGGUUUUGGAAUUUUCAUCCGCACAGACUAUAUCAGCCACGGAUAGGAUAUGUGAGAAUACCAGCAUGUCAAGGCUGGGAAUCAUCCUUAGGCAUCACCUAGCCAGUCCUGCCUCUCAUUUUAAGGAACACCUGGAGAUGAAGACAAGGAAGAUGUCAGUUUCUACAUUAAGUAACAAACUAGAAAGAAAACAACUUUUUUUCUCCUUCACAAAAACAUACCAAAUGGGAACUGCGCAACCAUCUUUGGAGAUGUGAGAGGCUCUGAAAUGCCAAAUCGGUUUUCAGCACGGACCCGGAAGAUGUACUCCUGGCCUGGGAUCAGCUUUCCAACCCUGCAGGAAGUUUUUGUGACUGAAGCUAGAGCCGUGACCCAGUCACCUCGGCUUACAUCACACUUCUCCACUAUAUAAUUGGUGAUGUUACUGCCUCCGUCCUCCAGAGGGAUGUGCCAUGACAGGGAGCAAGCAUCAGCGUCUAUAUCAGAAAUGUCAAAUGGAGGCUGAGGGGGGCCGGGGGCAUCUACAUGAACCAAGAGGAAAG
rnacentral:lncRNA from 1 species